AGAGUUUGAUCAUGGCUCAGGAUGAACGCUAGCUACAGGCUUAACACAUGCAAGUCGAGGGGUAGCAGGGUAGCAAUACCGCUGACGACCGGCGCACGGGUGAGUAACACGUAUCCAACCUUCCCAUAACUCAGGGAUAGCCUUUCGAAAGAAAGAUUAAUACCUGAUAGUACUUUUUCAAGGCAUCUUGAGAAAGUUAAAGAUUUAUUGGUUAUGGAUGGGGAUGCGUUCCAUUAGAUAGUUGGUGAGGUAACGGCUCACCAAGUCUUCGAUGGAUAGGGGUUCUGAGAGGAAGGUCCCCCACAUUGGUACUGAGACACGGACCAAACUCCUACGGGAGGCAGCAGUGAGGAAUAUUGGUCAAUGGGCGAGAGCCUGAACCAGCCAAGUAGCGUGAAGGAAUGAAGGUCCUAUGGAUUGUAAACUUCUUUUAUAGUAGAAUAAAGUGAUCCACGUGUGGAUUUUUGUAUGUAUACUAUGAAUAAGGAUCGGCUAACUCCGUGCCAGCCGCCGC
rnacentral:rRNA from 1 species